rnacentral:rRNA from 1 species
GCUUGUCUCAAAGAUUAAGCCAUGCAUGUGUUAGUAUAAACGCCUUUAUACUGUGAAACUGCGAACGGCUCAUUAUAUCAGUUAUAGUUUAUUUGAUACUUUUCGACUAUUGGAUAACCGUAGUAAUUCUAGAGCUAAUACGUGCGUAAAUCCCGACUCCUGGAAGGGACGUAUUUAUUAGAUUUAAGGCCAACCGAGCUUGCUCGUCUCUUGGUGAAUCAUGAUAACUUCACGAAUCGCAUGGCCUCGCGCCGGCGAUAUUUCAUUCAAAUUUCUGCCCUAUCAAUUGGCGAUGGUAGGAUAGAGGCCUACCAUGGUGUUAACGGGUGACGGGGGAUUAGGGUUCGAUUCCGGAGAGGCAGCCUGAGAAACGGCUACCACAUCCAAGGAAGGCAGCAGG